CAAAAAGAGACCAGCAAGGUUCUGUGCAUCUUGAAUACAGUGUAUGGAUCCUGGGCUCUGACUCUGAUGUUGGGUAAUUACUUAUUUCUAUGCAAACUGGACUCCAAAUGCUGCUGAACUGGAAUUCAGUUGUCCUGUGUUACUCUGCAAGUGUGAACAGACCACUCCUGAAAGGUGAGGGAGAUCUGUGGUGUUUGGUGGCUGCCUGACACUGGUUCUACACACAUGUGAAAAGCUGGGGUCAGACUUGCUGUAUUUGACUGAAACAGGCUUAAGAAAAAUGUCUUUGUUUUGCCUCUGAAAGGAAAUAAUAUCCAGUAGGCAGUUCUCUGUUCUUGAUGACAGUGAGCACUCAGUACAAGUGAUGUAAUAUUAGAUUGCUCAACACUUAACAUGGAGAAAAAGCUUAUAAAAAUUGGAUAUGUGAAUAUUUAUUGAGAGAAACCAUGGCAAGCUACCAGGAACUCCUCUGUGACAGAAAUAGCCACCCUAGGAAAGCAAAGUCCAGAGCACCUCUGAGGAUAGUGCUGUCCAGAUGUGAUAGUGAAAAAUGGUUUCUCUAGAAGCACAGGGAAUCUGAAGUGCUCUUGGAAGAAUUGGAUGGAUGAGACAUGCUGGUGCUCUGAGCUCUCUCUAUUUUAGGCCCAAUACCCAGGCUUUCUCCUACAAGUUACUAAACCCUUGCUUUGAUAUGUGCCAUUUAUUUAACACAAAUGAUUGUUCAGCCUGAACAAAUACCAGGCACAAGGGGCAGGCAUGAAGACACCAGGUAGGAACACUACCUUUGGUCUAGUGUAUGAAACAAGUGGGAAAUUCCUCAGACAAGCUGAAUUUGCUUUAUGCAGCUCAUUGCCAUCUGGAUUACCUUCCUGCACCUUCCUGAUUAUAUGAUUGCCAAAACAGCUUCCUCUGAUGCCACAGGACAUGAGAAUGAUAACGUAAGUCCAGGGCAACAUCAGGUGUCUGACUCCUGUUGCUUCACACACCAUGUGCCCCUUACCCCUGCAGGCACAGUUAGAAGAACCCUCUGUGAGGGUUAUCUGCAGAUAUUUGAGCCUGGGCAGGUGUUUGACAUGGCCCUCCAUGACCUCUGAACCACAGAGUGCACCAAAUGAGCUGCAGAUAUUGGCUGCUUCAUGGCAUUGUUACCUGGGGGAGGCACAUCCACGUUCUGCUGCAGAAAUACAGCUCUCUGUCAAUUAUCCAGGAACUCAUGAAGGCAGAAACCUUCAUCCAUGUAUUUAUGAUCCUUGAGUAAGUGACUCUGGAGACAAGCUGAAAGGAACCAUCAUUUCUGGGGUGAUCCUCUCUCCUCGAGCACUGACAGCUUUCCUGAGUGCUGUCAUCCCAAGGGAGGGCACUGGGGCUACCCCAUCAAUCAUUCCUGAAGUGUUGUCAAGCCUGAAGGGGCAAGAGCAAGCCUGAGCCAAGGAUGCUGCUGCCUGUGUGGGAGCUUUCUGACUGAACAGCUCAUCCACUGGGCCCAAAUGGUGCAACUGGAAAACAAAGCAGCAAAAUCCUCUCUGACAAAAGUGGAUGGAGGCAAGCCAGGACUAGAACAAAACAAAAGCUGCAUAUAAAAUAUAGAUCAUCUCAGCCCAGUUUAAAAAAAAUAGGAUUCUUGUGUGGCCAGGGUAGUCCAUGCAGUGAUGGGCACAGAGAAGGCUUGGGAAUUUGGACCUUGAUUUAUGUCCCCUCUUAUGACACUGGAACACAGUGGGGAAGACAGAACUAUCAAUCCAGCACAACAAAAAUAGAAAAAGUCAUGUUUUUCUUUUAGAAGAAGGGGAUGUGGGACAGCCUCUGGUUCACUGUGUCCUGUCUUGGUUAAGGGGUAGCUUUAAUCUCUGGUCUGCUGGGCUGUGUGUGUUUGGGGUGAAAAGGUGCUGACCCAGGGAGGACCCUGAGAGAGACUUUGGUGCAGAGCUGAGGUUUUCUGAGACUGGUCCAUGAGCCCACCAACUUAUAUGUGGUUUCAGAGUGCAGACAGCCUACACAGCUUGGAGACUGGAACACACCCCCAGAACUGUUAUGAUAGCUGUGGAAAUGACAGUCACUCUCUGUGGAGCCACAGCAAGAUGGAUCACUGUGCAACAUCCUCUGUUCAGGAAGGGAUACUCCUGGUGCUUGGGCCCCAGCCAGAGGUUCAGACUUGGGAGGGAAAUGUGCUCCACCAGAGCUGUUCAGCCUCACACCACGACUUCAAUGUGCCUAAUUACUUCCUAAUUACUGGGGGAACCAUGGGCUGGUGCAAUUGUCCAAGCUCCCACCUUCUGGCAGGGUGAAAGGUGACCAGCCUGGGACAGGCUGAGCAUCUUCCCUCGCUUUCCUGCUAGGAUCCAUGAUGGGUGCAUCUGCUGAAGGCUCAGAAAGAGAAGGAGUUUGUGCUGGUGCGGGAGGGAAAGGACAAGCAGAGACAAUCUCGUGUGUGGCAGGGGCUGGCCUUGGCCAUCUGGACAGAGUUUGAGCUGGCACUGCCACCCAAAAGGACAGAAAUAAAUGAAGUGGGUGGGAAGUUGUGGAGGAUAACCACAGGGCAAGAGCAUGGGCUGCAUCUGUCCACAACACCCACACAACAUGGGAAUGGCACUGCUGAGGCCUGGGAACACUUCAGCAUCCUGUGUGUUCCCCGCUUCCUCUGUUUUUCCCUUGUGGUAUCAUUCCCUGUGAGCACUGACCUGAGCAGAUGUGGCGUAUUUAAGCUUCAGACUAGCUGGUUGUACUAAAGAAAUGUCUUUUGUGAUUAAAGGUGCCUGUUCUGUUAUUGGUAGUUGUAAAAAAAUUUUCUGAACCUUACUGUUUCUCUAUUUUUUAAGAGUAUCUGUCUCCCAUAGUGCUGCUGGGUUUUACCUUUUAAUUACAAACAAACAAACCAAUCCCCAAACAAUAUUUAUGUCAUAUGUUUUUAUACAUUCACCAUGGAUUGUAAUGUAUUAAACCUUUCUUACAGACUGACUGAUAGUGGGUAGUUGGUCUUAUAGUCCUAAAGCAGAGUAGAAACCAAACUUAAAGAAUUAGAUUUCACCUGGUUUUUUGUUUUUUUUUUUUUUGUUACAUACAUACCACUCCUCCAAAGCAGACUGCUCUUGUACCUCAGAAAAUGGAGACAUUAAUUCACAAAUUAGUGUGGCAUUACUAAAACAAACUCCACCCUCUUCUGAAAGAAUGAGUUUGAAUUGUGAACCAUUCAGCCUACUUCUGCCUUCAGAAAAUGAAAUGCCACAAACUUCAGAAACUUGAAAUUGUUAGCUUGGACUCCAUCUCCAGGAGGGGGACAGGGGAAAGGACCUUUCCCAUCAAGUCUUAAAUUAAUUCUUUAAACUUUGAACCAGUUAAUCCUGUCUUUAUUGUUGUUGGAGCACAAACUGACUCAGUGGGAUGUCUGGACUGAACCAUAGGCAAGAAUCUCUCCUCCCAAGCAGAGAGGAUUCCUGGGAGAAGCUCAUGCUGGAAUGCAGAAGGGAGUGGGCAAACCCAAGACACUGAGGCACCAAAUACCCCAGAGGUGGUGUCUCAGGUUCCCAGGAGAAGAAUCCUGGGCAAGAGGAUUUUUCCAGAAAAUAUGACUGCCACACUCAGAGGAUACAAUGUACUUGUUAGCCCCAAAAGCCACUUGAAUGGGCUUUUUGGUUUGCUCCUGCAAAUAGAUUAUGCAAACAUGUUCAGCAUAUGGAGCAGAACAGAUCCAAACUCUGUUCAAUCAAAUGCAAAGUGCCUUUAUGUGCUGCUGCUGCAGAGUGUGAACUCUCAGAGAAGGCAAUGCACUGAACUGUAUUAUGAACUGAGAGGAUGAAAACACCCAGGUAGUCUUGGAAAAAUGGUUAAUCAAACUGAAGAAACUAAAAUCUACAAAAACCAGUCUCAGGCAGAAUGUGGAGCCAGAGCCAGGUAUCCAGAAGAAUGAGUCAGUAAUAAAGAAACCUACAGCUUGUAACCAAAAUGCCUCGAGCUGUUUGCUUUAAGUUAUCUUGAAUAAACUAUGUGUUGUGUAUUUCCUGAAGAGCAUGACCAAAAACUCACUGAGACCAUGGAUCUCCAAGUCUGGAGCUGUUCUGCUGCCUGCCCUUUUAACAGCUGUCCAAGUGCGCAGGAAGAGUUGAACCAACACUAAAACCUUGCCAGCUCUGCUCACUUGGGUCCUACAACCUCAACACAGUGCGCAAACGUUUAAGCAGCAGCUUCGCUGAUGGGACUUAGCCCUAAAUCCACACAAAUCCAAGGUAAUCUGGAAGCAGCUCACUGCUGCCUUAGUAUCAGCGUGAGACGGGGGCUGAAGGAGCUGGGAGCUCUGUGCGUGCCUUGACAGGGAAAGUUUGUGAUCUAAAGGUUUCAAAAUCUGCAUAAUGAAAACUGCCAGAAAGUUUAGUGCAGCAGUUCUGCUUUUCCCCGUGCAGAGCUACAGGGCACAGGUUAAGGCUCAGCUCCAAGAAGAAUGAGGAAUUGCAAUGCAAAGGAGCAGAGAUGCUGAGUACAAGGAUAUCAGUUAAACUUUCUGACCAGCCUAAGGGUUCUUCAUGUAUUUUAUCCGCUGGCUGACUAAUGUAAAAUACAAAAGUAUUCUGCCUGGCAAGGCAGGAGCAGAACUGCAGUCUCCACCCUCCCAAAGGAUGACUUAAAUACGAAGCUACGAUGCUGUGUUCUUCCUUUCCUUCUGCCUGCUCAAAUGCAUUUUUAAUUCUUUAAUGCAAAGUAGGAAGGCACCAAAAUCUCUCUCUCCAGAAAAGCCUCAGAGAGGGUAGACAGAAACUUCUCCUGGGAACACCAGCAACUCUCCUCCUGCCUUCACUGGAAUUAAAAUCACACUCCCUGUGUUCUAAGUGACCACCUAACCCUGAGGUACAGGAAGAAUGGGGUGCUACCUCCUCCCUAGCUGUGAGCUGGAGCACAGCACCAGGCACUGUGGUAUUUUUUACCUAGGCAGUCUCAGCAGUGACCAGUCACCCAGUGAGCCAAACCACCAGCCUGACUGUACAGGAGUGUGGGCAAGAGCAGAAGCUCAGGCUUAGCUCCCCAAGGGAUGUGAGCUCUUCAUGGUCCACUCUGGAUUUAGACAUUCUUUGUGAAGUGGCCAUUUGUUUCCUCUUUCAGCCUAAAUCAUACAGGGAAAAAUCAACAUGUCCCUUUGUGGGAAGAGAUGUUUUGCAUCAAGUGGAAAAAUGGAUGAGAUUUCCUGUAUCCUCAUUAGCAAUGUGGUGUACGGUUUGAAAUCUGCCCUUUCUAAGGUGAGAUACCAUCUAAGAGCCUCUCUGCUUUUAAGUGUAGCCUCACAGCACAUACAACUUGUCAGUGAAUUUUGCUUUCAUGUACACAUCUUUCAUCUCUGUGCAUAGGUGCUUAUCUAUGAAAUUAAUUCUAGUAGCAACCAAAUGUGUCCCACCUAAAGGAAUCAGAUAAUAAAUUCAGGGGGGAAAAAAGCUCAUUGUUGUUUUUUUCCCCUUCCAGGAUGAGAUGC